rnacentral:rRNA from 1 species
CGAAGGUCCCAAGCGUUAUCCGGAUUUAUUGGGUUUAAAGGGUGCGUAGGCAGGCUAUUAAGUCAGUGGUGAAAGCCCCAAGCUUAACUUGGGAACUGCCAUUGAUACUGAUGGUCUUGAGUACAUUUGAGGUGGGCGGAAUGUGUCAUGUAGCGGUGAAAUGCUUAGAUAUGACACAGAACACCGAUUGCGAAGGCAGCUCACUAAACUGUAACUGACGCUGAGGCACGAAAGCGUGGGGAGCAAACAGGAUUAGAUACCCUGGUAGUCCACGCCCUAAACGAUGAUCACUCGAUGUGUGCGAUAUACUGUACGCGUCUGAGCGAAAGCAUUAAGUGAUCCACCUGGGGAGUACGAUCGCAAGAUUG